CCUCGCCGGAUGUGCAGGAAGUGGAAAAUGCCACCACAUCAGGAGGUAUUCGAGCUGUUGGGGGCGGAUUGGACACCUACAGUGCCCAUGUCCUAAUUGGGGAGAUCAUGUCCUGCAGGGCAGAAAUAGAGGACACAAACCUUGCCUUAGAGAAGCUUAUAAAGAAAAAC